rfam:Gossypium hirsutum cultivar TM-1 chromosome 18, whole genome shotgun sequence
UAAAAGGUUUCAUUUGAAACCACACUUUUUGUCAAGUAUUACAAU